UACGUAGGGGGCUAGCGUUGUCCGGAAUCAUUGGGCGUAAAGCGCGCGUAGGCGGCCCGUAAGUCCGCUGUAAAAGUCAAAGGCUCAACCUUUGAAUGUCAGUGGAUACUGCCGGGCUAGAGUCCGGAAGAGGCGAGUGGAACUCCUGGUGUAGCGGUGGAAUGCGCAGAUAUCAGGAAGAACACCCGUGGCGAAGGCGGUUCUCUGGGACGGUACUGACGCUGAGACGCGAAAGCGUGGGGAGCGAACAGG
rnacentral:rRNA from 1 species